UAAUUAGCUAAGAAAAAGAGGAGUAGGAAUCUGUAUUUUUUUAGAGAGAGAAACUCAUGGGCUGAAAGGUUUCUUAAAGAGAUGAUUUUGAAGGUAGCUUUGGAGCUUCUUUGCUGAGAGUGAUUGUAGGCAAAGACGGUGUUCUUACCGUUAAAUUUUAAGAGCCCAUUGUAUGAUGGGAAAAAAGGUGGUACCGCGAGCUUUCGUCCUUUUA
rnacentral:ncRNA from 1 species